AAGUCGGAACAAGGUUUCCGUAGGUGAACCUGCGGAAGGAUCAUGAACACGUAUCCAACGUUAAACCCCCUGUGAACCUUCAUUGUACGAGUUACAUCCACGUCAUAAACCGGCAAUCUCUGGUAAAUCAUCGCCGAACAGUUUUGAUUCAGAGACCUCUGGGAAGGGUGUACGGUAGUGCGAGGCAAUUGACCUGGCUUGUUAGUGCUCUGAAAGUGUCACUAGCUAUGUACGGAUGGCGGCCGACACGGCCGGCGACCAGGUCACUGGGCUACGGCCCCCCUGAUCACAACCUUUGCAUGAAAACGGGCCUGCGCUGAGGUGCGGCCACCCCUAAUGCUUGAACAACUGUUAACAAUGGAUAUCUUGGUUCUC
rnacentral:misc_RNA from 1 species